UGUGCCGGGCCACUGAGGGAGAAAUUGGGAAGAAAAACAGAAAAGGCACACGCUGAACGGUAACAGGCAUCAGACACUCUUGGCAACUGCUUGAAGCGACAACUGUGUCUCCUUGGCAAUGAGCACUCCAGGAAGAGGCAGGCACAAGCCUGCCUCUGAAUUGCGUAAGAACCUUCCGGCCAUCCAGAUAAAGGAGACUGAUGCUCAGAGAAGGGCCACGUCCUGCCCCAGUUUGAUGGGGCAGAGAGAAGAGAAUCUGCGUUCUUGAGGCAUUUGUAGUGGCUGCUGCCACCAGAGAAGGGAACAGACAAGAAUGUGGUUCCUGGAAGCGCAAGAGGAGGCCAUCUUCGUGAGCCGAGCAGGUGACCCCAGUCUGCGGCCACAAGAAUGAGGCCCUUGUCUGGCAUCUUCUCCAGCAACCUGUUCUGGAUUGACUAAUUACCUCCAGCAACCUGUUGUUCAAUUUAUGAACUCACUGAUCCUGACCUGGUAAGCUUUAGCCCCUGAAUGCCAAAAAUAAAAGUACAGUCACAUCCAUUUAUUUGAAAGAGAAUAGAGAAUGGAUUUAUUUGAUUGUUAUAAGCAGUAAUUCAUGAAUAGUAGCAGGUAACAUUUAUCAAAUGUGUACUUUACUUAAGCCAGGUAUUAUUUCAUUUACUCACUUCUUCAUUUAAUCUUCACAAUAACCUCCCACUAGGUAAAUACUAUCGU